GAUGAACGCUAGCGGCAGGCCUAACACAUGCAAGUCGAGGGCUAAGCCCUUUCGUGGGCUGAAACGGUCGCAGGGGAACGUAAGGGUAACGCAACCUACCUUUCCCAGGGGGUUGGCCCUAACAAAUUUGAAUUAAUACUCCUAAUUGUUAUUGACUGGCAUCAUUUUAUAUUUAAACGUACGGGGUUUAACGAGGGGCGGGCGUCCUCUUAGCUAGUUGGGUUGGUAACGGCCCCCCAAGCCUACGAUGGGUAGGGGUCCUGAGGGGGAGAUCCCCCACACUGGUACUGAGACAGGGACCAGACUCCUACGGGAGGCAGCAGUGAGGAAUAUUGGUCAAUGGUCGGAAGACUGAACCAGCCAUGCCGCGUGCAGGAAGAAUGCCUUAUGGGUUGUAAACUGCUUUUAUAUGGGAAGAAUAAGGCGUACGUGUACGUUGAUGACGGUACCAUAUGAAUAAGCAUCGGCUAACUCCGUG
rnacentral:rRNA from 1 species